CCCGCUCCUCCCCAACCCCACCCGCCCUUCUGCGCCCGGGGAGCAGACGUCUCCUGAGGAAAACCAGAUUCCCUCUGAAGAGAUUCCUCUUGUCCUGUCAGGCACGUCAAAAAUGCUCACACUCACUUCAGAAACAACCCGUGACGCCAGCACCUGGUUGUUGUGUGAGUCCCACAGAACUGCCUGAUUUCUGUAGACGACUUGUUUCUGAAAACCAGGAAGGAGGAUGCCCAGGGUCAUGUCACAGAAUUCUCCGGGAGAGGAUUGCGAGUUACAUAGGCUGUGAGUGUCCUCAGGGAACACGAAGUCCUCUGAAUUAAGCACACCAUCAGUCCAAGUGCUCAACAUCUUUUUGGAGCCCUUCCUGGAUCAUCAACCUCAAAUCUUAUUUGCAUUCUGUUUAAGUAUUUAAAGUUGCUUAUUAGUGUUUUGUAAGACAGAGCCAAGGACAGAAUGCUGUUACCAUUAAAGACCUCGUUCUUUCUAUCAAACAUUCCUCGGUGGACUUUGAGUACAGUACUGACAACUUCCACAUUUAUGUAACUGAACCGUCUUCUUAAUUCAUAUUCUUCAAAAAAAAAAAAGUGAGAAUUUGUAGACUACAAGUAAACUGUCUCCAGAAUUCCUAGAAACUGUUGGCCAUGCAUGAAAGGAAAAAUACUGUGGCAUCAUAGAAAAGUCUGGGCUCUCUAUAAAGAAAUCAGAAAAGGCUGGGGAGAAUGAAGCCUUGAAAGGUAGGGAACAAAAAAAUGAAGCCAGGGGAAAGAAGAAGCUGGGAAGACAGACCGCCAAGCCUCCCAUAGCCAGCAUCAACCAGACUAUCCAUUCCCCUCUUCCUCAGGCUCACAUCCAGGCUGCUGUAACCAACACACACUUACAGAGAAGCAAGGCUGAAAUAGGUCACUGGAGAUCUCCUGGGUGUCGAACAGGAGGAUUGUUUCCAAAUAGCACGUCUCUGCUUCUCUUUUCACAUUUCUUUAGCAGAAGGUGUUGCUGUGUGCUGGACAGCCAACUAAGCAUUUGGUGAAAGGCUGCCUGGCAUUGUUCUACUACUCCUGCAUCACAAUGUGCUGACAUAGCUCUGAAGUAAGAAGGGAAGGAGCAGCCGAAAGAUGAGGAUUGGUGCCGGCAUUCCUGAGAAGCCCAGACUUGUGGGUGGAAGUUCUGGGGCUUUUUAGAGGUGAAAAGCCAUCUUGAUGAUGGUGGGGCUGGAGAAGAUAUAAUAAAAAUGGAAAAAAUAUCAUUUGUCAUUCA